GCAUCGCCGCCCGGUAAGACCUCCCCCCGAAUCUCUGACGCACUUCCCCGGUGUCAGAGGGUCGGUGGGGGAUCUGGUCGGACGGCGGAGGGGCC
rfam:Cellulomonas sp. Leaf395 contig_2, whole genome shotgun sequence.